AUGUAUCUAAAUAUCAAUCAUUACCUUCAAAAUAUGUCGCAUCAGCAUAGAGUCUACAAAUAAACAUGUUCCGAUUAAAAGUACCCUUAUUUUUAAUUUGUAGACGUGUAUGCAUAUUAGACCAACAAGAUACUCAAGGAGGAAGUAUAUAGGUUUGAAAAGUAAGCUUGACUACUUAAACUUAUCUCCGUUCUCGACGAUCCCGUUGUUGACAGUUUUUAUUUCUUUUCUCAAUGGGGCAUUUGUU
rnacentral:lncRNA from 1 species